AGUAAGUGACAUGCGGAGGACAUUACCACACCUAAAAACUUUCCACGUGAACCGUUUCAACCCAAUAGUUGGGGGUCUUAUUUGGCGGCGGCUGCUGACUUAAUUGCUGGCGGCUGCUGCUGAGUGAGCCCUAUCAAAAAAAAGGCGAACGUUUGGGCUUCGGCCUGAUUUAGUAGUCUUUUUUUCUUUUAAACCCAUUCCUUAAUACUGAAUAUACUGUGGGGACGAAAGUCUCUGCUUUUAACUAGAUAGCAACUUUCAGCAGUGGAUGUCUAGGCUCGCACAUCGAUGAAGAACGCUGCGAACUGCGAUACGUAAUGCGAAUUGCAGGAUUCAGUGAGUCAUCGAAAUUUUGAACGCAUAUUGCACUUCCGGGUUAGUCCUGGAAGUAUGCCUGUAUCAGUGUCCGUACAUUAAACUUGACUUUCUUCCUUCCGUGUAGUCGGUGGAGGAGAUGUCAGAUGUGAAGUGUCUUGCGAUUGGUCUUCGGACCGGCUGCGAGUCCUUUUAAAUGUACUAAACUGAACUUCUCUUUGCUCGAAAAGUGGUGGCGUUGCUGGUUGUGAAGGCUGCUAUUGUGGCAAAUUGGCGACUGGUUUGUCUGCUGCGGCAUUAAUGGAAGAGUGUUCGAUUCGUGGUAUGGUUGGCUUCGGCUGAACAAUGCACUUAUUAGGACGUUUUUCCUGCUGUGGCGUGAUGGACUGGUGAACCAUAGCUCGGUGGCUUGGCUUUUGAAUUGGCUUUGCUGUUGCGAAGUAGGGUGGCAGCUUCGGUUGUCGAGGGUCGAUCCAUUUGGGAACUUAAUGUGUACUUCGGUAUGCAUCUCAAUUGGACCUGAUAUCAAGGCAAGAAUAACCCGCUGAACUUAAGCAUAUCAUAAAGCGGGAGAA
rnacentral:rRNA from 1 species